GCCUUUUUUUUCACUUUUUCUUCGGAAUGACUGGGCGUAAGGGCACGUAGGCGGUGAAUCGGGUUGAAAGUGGAAGUCGCCAAAAAGUGGCGGAAUGCUCUCGAAACCAAUUCACUUGAGUGAGACAGAGGAGAGUGGAAUUUCGUGUGUAGGGGUGAAAUCCGUAAAUAUACGAAGGAACGCCAAAAGCGAAGGCAGCUCUCUGGGUCCCUACCGACGCUGGGGUGCGAAAGCAUGGGGAGCGAACAGG
rnacentral:rRNA from 1 species